UACGUAGGGUGCGAGCGUUAAUCGGAAUUACUGGGCGUAAAGCGUGCGCAGGCGGCGCGUUAAGACAGGUGUGAAAGCCCCGAGCUUAACUUGGGAAUUGCGCUUGUGACUGGCGUGCUGGAGUGUGGCAGAGGGAGGUGGAAUUCCACGUGUAGCAGUGAAAUGCGUAGAGAUGUGGAGGAACACCGAUGGCGAAGGCAGCCUCCUGGGCUGACACUGACGCUCAGGCACGAAAGCGUGGGGAGCAAACAGG
rnacentral:rRNA from 1 species